rnacentral:rRNA from 1 species
GCGGAAUGGGCCGCAGCCUGAUGCAGCCAUGCCGCGUGUAUGAGAAGGCCUUCGGGUUGUAAAGUACUUUCAGCGGGGAGGAAGGGAGUAAAGUUAAUACCUUUGCUCAUUGACGUUACCCGCAGAAGAAGCACCGGCUAACUCCGUGCCAGCAGCCGCGGUAAUA